UACGUAGGGUGCGAGCGUUAAUCGGAAUUACUGGGCGUAAAGCGUGCGUAGGCGGUUCGUUAAGUCAGCUGUGAAAGCCCCGGGCUCAACCUGGGAACUGCGGUUGAAACUGGCGAACUAGAAUCUGGCAGAGGGGGGUGGAAUUCCACGUGUAGCAGUGAAAUGCGUAGAGAUGUGGAGGAACACCGAUGGCGAAGGCAGCCCCCUGGGUCAAGACUGACGCUCAUGCACGAAAGCGUGGGGAGCAAACAGG
rnacentral:rRNA from 1 species